rnacentral:rRNA from 1 species
CUACGGGGCGCAGCAGUAGGGAAUAUUGCGCAAUGGAGGAAACUCUGACGCAGCGAUACCGCGUGAGUGAGGAAGGCCCUCGGGUUGUAAAGCUCUGUCGAUGGGGAAAAACGGCAUAAACUCGAAUAGGGUUUGUGAUUGAUGGUACCCAUAAAGGAAACACCGGCUAACUUCGUGCCAGCAGCCGCGGUAAUACGAAGGGUGUAAGCGUUGUUCGGAUUUAUUGGGCGUAAAGCGCGCGCAGGCGGAUAGAUAAGUCAGGUGUGAAAUCUCGGGGCUCAACCCCGAAACUGCGCCUGAAACUGUUUAUCUAGAAUACCGGAGGGAGAAGGGGAAUUUCUCAUGUAGGGGUAAAAUCCGUAGAGAUGAGAAGGAACACCAGAGGCGAAGGCGCCUUCUUGGACGGUUAUUGACGCUGAGGCGCGAAAGCGUGGGGAGCAAACAGGAUUAGAUACCCUCGUAGUC